GUUCCUGGGAAACAAUAGUUAAAAAUAUCUUAACAGUUUUUCUAUUCAUUUUAUCUAGAGGCUAUUUAUGUCAUCCUGUCACCAAAAUGGUCAUUCUUACGCAUUUUUCUGUGACCAAGUUUGUGUUUGAAUGUAUAUGCAGUCAUGUAAACAGGAAGUAUACCCUGCUCCUGUUCCAUGGUUUUUUUGUCUGAGAACAUAGUAAAAAUCUGCUCCUUAGCAGUUCUUAAAAGUAAAUACAACCUCAGAUGAGCAAAAUGACAUUAAACAAUGUUGUGAUUUAUUUUUGAAAAAGAAAACCAAAAUGGAGAAGCUGUGUAUGUAAAACUUAAGAUUCAAUAAUUUUGGAAGAAUUUUGACCCACUAUUCUUUACAACAUUUCAGUUAAAUGAAGUUUGUGAGCAUUUUUAUUACUUGUUUCACUUGAGGUUUCACUGUAGCAUUUCAAUCAGGUUGAGGUUUGGACUUUGACUGGGCAAUUACAAUACCUUAAUUUUUUUCCUUUUCAGCCAUUCUGUGUUAUUUUUGCUGGUGUGCUUAGGGUCAUUGUCCUGUUGCAUAACCCAAUGUUGGCCAAUCUUUAGCUGUCAGACUGCUGGCUUCACAUGUGACUCUGGAGUACUUUGGUAUUUAGUGGAGUUGAUGGUCAACUCAGUGAUUGCAAGGUUAGGGGUUUUUUGUUUUCAGGUUGAUAAGUAGAUUAUCCUUUCCAGGUUGAAAAGAUUAGUCAGUGACAUCACUGUUUCUAGGGAGAUGCCCCGGGAGAGGUGCUCCUUUCAAGUUCCCAGCAAGGUGCUAGAGUGAAUGACAGGAGCUUACCCCACCAUGCAGCAGCACUUGGAUUUCAAACAUGGGCUUGCUAACUUUCAACCCAAUGUCCUCACCAUGUGACCCACCACACUCCUGGUGGGGGAGAGUACCAAAGGUAGAGAGUGAAGAGGUUGUGUCUCCACCAUCUUAAAGUGGUCAGUAUGAGGUAAAACUAUGCCAUGCCAUUCCUGAAGAAUCAUUAGAUUGUGCAACCAACAGAAUGAUCAUUGAAACAGGUCAGAUUAUAUCUACACCAGAAAUUUGCUUGGGUGAACAGGAGAACACCAACAUUGGCACAAGUAAGAAAAGCUUAUGGCUGCCUCAAAUGUAGGCUGCUGAUGAGGCAAACACAACAUCAUGGAGAGACAGCAGAAAGAGAGGCUGUUGGGACAUAUCCAUACCACUUUAGAAAGCACCUUUGAAGUGAAGAUGACAACCCUGGUUUCAGAUGAAGCCUGGCACAUUCCAAAAGCCCCAGAGUAUGAAUUAUUAGUAAUCUACCUUUGCGAAGAAAGCUUCCUUUGCUGAAA